AACGAACGCUGGCGGCAGGCCUAACACAUGCAAGUCGAGCGACGGCUUCGGUUCUACUGGCUUCCGGGUGUGUCACGCGUCGGACUGUUCCCUUCUCCAUGUCCUAGCUCUCGGAAACUGGGAGUAAUACCUUAUACGCCCUAUUUGGGAAAGAUUUAUCGGAGAAGGAACAGCCGGCGUCGGAUUAGGUAAUUGGUGGGGUAAUGGCAUAUCAAGCCGACGAUCCAUAGCUGGUUUGAGAGGAUGAUCAGCCACACUGGGACUGAGACACGGAGCAGACUCCUACGGGAGGCAGCAGUGGGGAAUCUUAGACAACGGAGGCGACCCUAAUAGAGCCAUGCCGCGUGAGUGAUGAAGGUCUUAGGGUUGUAAAGCGCUUUCAGCUGGGAAGAUAAUGACGGUACCGGAAGAAGAAGCCCCGGCUAACUCCGUG
rnacentral:rRNA from 1 species